GACGAACGCUGGCGGCGUGCUUAACACAUGCAACGUCGAACGAGAGGACAUGGGAAGCUUGCUUCCUAUGAAAUCGAGUGGCAAACGGGUGAGUAACGCGUAAACAACCUGCCCUUCGGAUGGGGAUAACAGCCGGAAACGGCUGCUAAUACCGAAUACGAUCUUUUCGUCGCAUGACGGAAAGAAGAAAGGAUGGCCUCUAUACAAAGCUAUCGCCGAAGGAGGGGUUUGCGUCUGAUUAGCUGGUUGGAGGGGUAACGGCCCAACAAGGCGAUGAUCAGUAGCCGGUCUGAGAGGAUGAACGGCCACAUUGGGACUGAGACACGGCCCAGACUCCUACGGGAGGCAGCAGUGGGGAAUCUUCCGCAUUGGACGAAAGUCUGACGGAGCAACGCCGCGUGAGUGAAGAAGGUCUUCGGAUUGUAAAACUCUGUUAUACGGGACGAAAAAGACGGAUGCCAACAGUAUCCGUCCGUGACGGUACCGUAAGAGAAAGCCACGGCUAACUACGUGCCAGCAGCCGCGGUAAUACGUAGGUGGCAAGCGUUGUCCGGAAUUAUUGGGCGUAAAGGGCGCGCAGGCGGUUCGGUAAGUCUGUCUUAAAAGUGCGGGGCUUAACCCCGUGAGGGGACGGAAACUGUCGAACUUGAGUGUCGGAGAGGAAAGCGGAAUUCCUAGUGUAGCGGUGAAAUGCGUAGAUAUUAGGAGGAACACCGGUGGCGAAAGCGGCUUUCUGGACGACAACUGACGCUGAGGCGCGAAAGCGUGGGGAACAAACAGGAUUAGAUACCCUGGUAGUCCACGCCGUAAACGAUGGAUACUAGGCGUAGGAGGUAUCGACCCCUUCUGUGCCGUAGUUAACGCUAUAAGUAUCCCGCCUGGGGAGUACGGCCGCAAGGUUG
rnacentral:rRNA from 1 species